rnacentral:lncRNA from 1 species
CAGUGAUUUAAACAUUUAUGGCAAAUCAUUUGCCUUAUCCACUACGCUUCGGACGCACGAAAAGUGCACACAAAUGAAAAGCCUUUCAAUUAAAAUCUCACCUGCUCACAAAUCAACAUACAAACAUUGUAACAGCGAAUGAGCUGGGGAAUUAUAACUAAAUAAAGUUAUUACAUAUACAUAGCUUA